GAUGAACGCUGGCGGCGUGCCUAAUACAUGCAAGUCGAGCGGACAGGUGAUGAGCUUGCUCCGCUGACGUGAGGGGAGCACGUGUGAGUCACACGUGUAUAAUGUACCUAUAAUACUGGGAUCAUUUCGGGAAAGGGGAUCUAAUACCGUAGAAUAUAUUGAAGCGCAGUGGGGGAUAGUAAAAGACGGCUGUGCUGGCACGAAUAGAUGGAUACGGGCUGCAUUAGAUAGUUGGUAAGUUAACGGGUUUUUAAGGCAACUAGGCGUAGCCGAGCGGAGUGGGGGGUCGGCCACCCUGGAACUGAGACACGGUCAAGACUCCUACGGGAGGCAGCAGUAGGGAAUCGUCCGCAGUGGGCGAAAGCCUGACGGAGCGACGCCGAGUGAGUGAUGAAAGUCUUCGGAUCGUAAAACUCUGUUACUAGGGAAGAACAAAUGUGUAAGUAACUAUGCACGGCUUGACGGUAACUAAUCAGAAAGCAACGGCUAACUACGUG
rnacentral:rRNA from 1 species